AACUUCUUUUAUUCAGCGUCUCAUCAAAAUUGAAAACACUUUUGAAAACUACAAGUCUCACGCGUUUUAGUGGUGAAAAAAUAAUUUAAAAAAUCGUUCAGGAAAUGAGUUUACUCCCUGGGUACUUUCUUUGUAUACUUUUGACUAUACGGGCCAAGCCCGGGAUUUACGGGAAAUCGCGGGUUUUCGUUUGCCGGCGACUAAACUUCUUUUAUUCAGCGUCUCAUCAAGAAUGAAAACAUUUUUGAAAACUACAAGUCUCAUGCGUUUUAGUGGUGAUAAAAUAAUUUAAAAAAUCGUUCGGGAAAUGAGUAUACUCCCUGGGUACUUUCUUUGUAUACUUUUAACUAUACGGGCCGAGUCCGGGACUUACGGGAAAUCGCGGGUUUUCGUUUGCCGGCGAUUAAACCACUUUCAUUAAGCGUCUCAUCAAAAAUGAAAACAUUUCUGAAAACAACAAGUCUCAUCAGCUUUAGUGCUGAAAUAAUAAUUUAAAAAAUCGUUCGGGAAAUGAGUUUACUCCCUGGGUACUUUCUUUGUAUACUUUUGACUAUACGGGCCGUGUCCGGGGUUUACGGGAAAUGGCGGGUUUUCGUUUGCCGGCGAUUAAACUUUUUUAAUCAGCUUCUCAUCAAAAAUGAAAACAUUUUUGAAAACUACAAGUCUCAUGCGUUUUAGUGGUGAAAAGAAAUUUUAAAAAUCGUUUAGGAAAUGAGUUUACUCACAGAGUACUUUCUUUGUAUACAUGGGAAAUGAGUUUACACCUGGGUACUUUCUUUGUAUACUUUUGACUAUAC